rnacentral:lncRNA from 7 species
UGCCAAGCCAAAGUUUUUGGAAACCAAACCAAUGCGUGGCUCAUUUACUGUUGUAUAAACAGAGAUCAGGUCCUUGGUGUUUCUGAGCAUUCCUUGGAGUCUGUAAUAGCCUUUGCCAGUCUGAGCUUUUCUUCUCAUCCCGGUGUCUUUUCCCCAGCACUGCCUGAAGUCACACAAUGGGAACGUCCUGUAGGGUCUCAGUAGGGAGACCCAGGGCAGCAGGGCUGAGUCCGCCUGGUUUCAGUCCCUCUUCUGACCUGUGCAAUCCAAAACGAGCACGCAGGGCUCUCGCAGAAAGUAGUAUUGGCUGCAUGAUCUCCAAAGGUCCAUUUGUCAGAGAUGCUGUGGGUUUGAAUCAGAACUAUCCUGAAGGGAAAUACUGCACAUCAAAGCUGUUUGUGUCUGACAUCGCAGUGGGCAGACCUUUGUCCCUGGAGGAUGUACACUGCUACAUGACUCACUUUAUUUGGAUUGAAGCCUUUACUCCCACACUGCUUCUUCCUUCUGUUACCUUUAGGAAGGCGAGGACUUGUUUCUACCUCUUCAGCCUUUUGUUUUUUCCCACCCAGGUUUUCUUUGGAAAUGCUUGGCGUAGGUUCCCAGAGUCUGAUUCCUGCUCUGAUCCCUGCAGGUUGCUUAAGGUUGUCUGCUAGACUACAGUCCCAGUUUUACAGCACCUUUUCCCAGCCUUAAAAUUGUGUUUGCUUCAGCUCCGGGCCUGGCACCCAUCCUGCAGGUGCUGAGAGCAGUGUGUUUUUCCUUUAGCCCGGUGUUUGUUUUGUACUGAUGCGGAAUGCACUUGAGUAAUGCCCAGAGCGUGAGGAGGUGUAUUGGAACAGCCCCACAGAGCUCUGCCUUUGGUUUGUUUCUUAAGAAAAAAGAAAAGAGAGAGAUGAAAAACAUGCUUUGCAUUUUCACGUUGAACUCAUUGAAAAUUUAAAAAAAAAAAAAAAAAAGUUUAAAAAAAAGGAAUUUUUUUUAAAAAAAGAGGGUAAAACCUAAUUGCUGUAUGUUAAUUUGUAAUUAUGUAAAAAGUGAGCAGGUUAUUGACUGUAAAAUUCUUCAGUUUUUUUCUGUAACUUGCCAGAAACCAUUAGGUUUUGUAACAAGCUUUUAUUUAUCUUCCUUUUUAGUUAUCAGCAUCAACCUCUUGUAAAGUCAUUUUUCCUCUAAAUAAAUUCGAUUUUAAGUC